rnacentral:rRNA from 1 species
GACGAACGCUGGCGGCGUGCUUAACACAUGCAAGUCGAACGGAAAGGCCCUGCUUUUGUGGGGUGCUCGAGUGGCGAACGGGUGAGUAACACGUGAGUAACCUGCCCUUGACUUUGGGAUAACUUCAGGAAACUGGGGCUAAUACCGGAUAGGAGCUCCUGCUGCAUGGUGGGGGUUGGAAAGUUUCGGCGGUUGGGGAUGGACUCGCGGCUUAUCAGCUUGUUGGUGGGGUAGUGGCUUACCAAGGCUUUGACGGGUAGCCGGCCUGAGAGGGUGACCGGCAAAAUUGGGACUGAGAUACGGCCCAGACUCCUACGGGAGGCAGCAGUGGGGAAUAUUGCACAAGGGGCGGAAGCCUGAUGCAGCAACGCCGCGGGCGGGAUGACGGCCUUCGGGUUGUAAACCGCUUUCGCCUGUGACGAGGCGUGAGUGACGGUAAUGGGUAAAGAAGCACCGGCUAACUACGUG